GUGGGGGGGGGCAGGCUGCGUCUCUGAGGGCCCCGAUAAAGUGGCCGUUCGCGGGCCGGCAGCGCUGUGAUUAGAAUAUGAAUGGGGCUCUGCAGGCGGAAGAGAAAGGCGGAUUACCCCGGGUGCUUUGACCAUGGACAGAGGCAGCGCCGGCCCGGCCGCGGAAGGGGCGGGGCGCGCGGGCGGGGUCCCUAACGCCUGGCGAGGGGGGUCUCUAACCCAGGACCCCAAGCUGGCCGCAAGCAAGCCCAAGGCCCAGAACCGAGCCAGGCGUUCUUUCCAGCUGCGACGGUUGACGACCGGAAAACCGAUGACAACCUGUGGCGACCGAAGGUGGCGGUGGCGAUUGUCGCACGUCGUCGUGGUGUGCCUGGCGGUGAAGACAGCGGGAUUCGGAGUCCAGGGAUCUGAGCGUCUGGGUCUACCUCACGGAUUUCUCCUUGAGCGGAGUGGGACGAAUGAUAAAAGCCCACCUUCGGCCGCCUGCAGGCCCAACGGGAGGUGGAAGACUGGCCAGGAGCUCGAUCAGAAUGCAAGCUUCAGGAGGGCUGGGACCUUUCCUUCUUGCUCACUGCUCUCAUCUUUAUCUCUGGACAGCAUUUAUUGGCCACCAUGAACAACCCAUCCCCUGGCCUGACUGGAAGCAGGUGACACAGUCCCACAAGAGCACAGGUGGAUUUCCUUGUGCAACAAAGUCGCUGGACACAAGAUUUGCACUUCGCAUAGUACUGAAAGGUUCUUAGUUAUUCUAAGUGAAAAUCAGAGCUCUGUUCAACUGAUUCUAAAAAUGAAAUCUAUGGAAAAAUAUCUCGUCUUUAAAAAUCUCCCAAAUAAGUACACAUUGUAUACAUCUAUAGCUUAGAAUUGCAUUAUGGUUGGGUCUAAGCCUAGAUCACCUUCCGUAGAGAAACCUGUACAGAAUAAGACCUUUUCCUUUCCUUCCUCCCUCCCUCUUUCUCUCUCUUUCCUUUUCUUUCCUCCAAUACUGAACAACAAGCCAUGUGCCAGGCUUUGCUCAAGGGAGAGGUGCAGAGGUGAACAGGAUAGUCAAGUGUCCUCCUCCCCCUCCCACCUCCUGGAGUUUACAGUCUAUUGGCCGAGCUGAAAAUAAACAAAGAAACUAAGAGCAAUAAACAAAGAAACGACAGCAAUCUUUCCUUCAUGGAUCUUAUAUUAGAGUAAAGACAUGCGCCCCAACCUUGUGUUUGUUAAUGGUUCAUUUGCUAAUUAGCUAAGUAAUUAUUUCAAUAAUAAUUGAAUAAUAAUAAUAAACAUGGCCUGAGCACCCUCUAUGUACCUCUGUGAGUUCUGAGUGUAAAUAGUCUGAUAUGACUGUGUUUACCUUAAGUCGUGGCUCAGUGAAGGAGAAGGUCAAGAAAAACUAUAAAACAGCUGGAUAAGUACUGUACAAGAGGGGUACCUUGGAUAGCCAUGGAAGGAGGGGACUCCCCCAGCUCACUCAGGAAGCACC